UCCGAUAUGGUGUAGCGGUAACAUAUGUGCCUCUCAUUGCGAUCGCACGUGCCCGGGGUUCGACUCCCCGUGUCGGAA